UCAAUUAAACCCUCAAUUGGCUUUUUUUUUCUACAGUCCUGCUGGUUCUAAUCUUGGUCUACCUCUUCCAGGCUCUCUCCUGUGUUUUCCAGCCACACUGCUCUUUGAAUUCUCUCUUCUUGCUAGAGUGCUUUUCCACCCUUCACUUCUUUUUCAUCCUGUGACUUAGGCCUUCGUGUCUCUAUCAAAGGAGUAUGGCAGACUUUCUCCAUGUGGAAGCAGGCUCAGAACUAGACUGUGACACAUCCAGGGGAUCAUAAGAUCCUCAGGACCUUUGUACAUUCUUCAAACCCUGGACCAGUUGUCCUACUUCCCUGAUUCCAACAAAGAAAAAGACAAAGUCAGUGUCUACGACAGGCUUCCCAGGUUUCAGGCUUAAAAUAGAGCUAAUAUCUUCCAGAAAGAAAUUACUCAUAUUUUUUUCUCUGAGAAACACAUGAAAGUUUUAAACACAAUCCUAAACGAAUAGGCUGCAAAUCUGUCUUGCAGUGGGCUCAUGAGGAAUAAACUGCAAAACUAA